rnacentral:rRNA from 1 species
GCAGAACGCGAAGAACCUUACCAGGUCUUGACAUCUGCCGAAUCCGGAAGAGAUUCCGGAGUGCCCUUCGGGGAGCGGCAAGACAGGUGGUGCAUGGUUGUCGUCAGCUCGUGUCGUGAGAUGUUGGGUUAAGUCCCGCAACGAGCGCAACCCUUGUGAUUAGUUGCUACGCAAGAGCACUCUAAUCAGACUGCCGUUGACAAAACGGAGGAAGGUGGGGACGACGUCAAAUCAUCAUGCCCCUUAUGACCUGGGCUACACACGUACUACAAUGGCCGUCAACAGAGGGAAGCAAGACCGCGAGGAGGAGCAAACCUUAAAAACCGGUCCCAGUUCGGAUUGCAGGCUGCAACUCGCCUGCAUGAAGCUGGAGUUGCUAGUAAUCGUGAAUCAGCAUGUCACGGUGAAUACGUUCCCGGGUCUUGUACACACCG